CUUUGUGUUAUACUAUACAGCCUUCACACUACACACCAACCCGUAUGAAAAUAAAUGUCUGCUUUUCUUCUUUUUUUUUUUUCGUAUUUUUGGUAUGUGACCCACUUUGCUGUCAUCGAUUAAUAUAUUUCUACUUCUAAGAGUAUCCAGUUCCGAGCACACUAUUAGUUUACAUGGAUUUUGUUUUGUCAAGGUCUUCUUAAAACUGCUGCGGUUGAUUCAAAUAGAUAUGGCUGAUGUUGAUAGAGGAGAAUCACCUUCUAGGCUGGAGGUUAAGUUUAGUGCGGCGGUAGCUUGUUGGAUUCUUGGAUUUGGUUCUCUCAUCUUUGGAAUAGCAUGCUGACAAGGGGAGAUUAUUACUAUCAUCUAUUCCCUGUUAAUCAAAUCUUAGGGAAAGGGUCCUUUUUUAUAAGCGAAGAUGUAAGUUGGAAUCAUGUACGUGAAGGUAGCAAAACUUUGAACAACAUACGGAUGCUCAGCUGGGAUGACGGUCUAUCAGCACCGAGGAGUGAGCUUGACACUUGAGCUCUUGCCAACCAGCCUGUUUGCUUUAAAAAAGAUUAGCUUGCCAUGCAAGCAAAGAAACAAACAACCAUUUUUGUAUUUUAGACUUUUCUUGCUGCAAAAGUUUUAGAAUUUCAAGAUGUAAUUCUCAGUUAUUGGAAACAAAAUGCAUACAGAACCAAAGCUUGAUUAAUUCUCAGCUAUUAGACAUUCUCAA